rnacentral:lncRNA from 1 species
UUUUUUGGAUUGCAAAAGGAAAGGUUAUUUUGAAAGCGUGUCUUGUCAGAUGUUGCCAGGGGGGGGAAAGGUGAAAUGUGUGCUUAAGUUGUGAAAGAGGAAGUCUUAUAUGUGUUAACUUUUAUCAUAGACAAGCGAUAUUUUAGGGAAGUAAGAUGCAUGACUGGGGUCAAGUUAUCUGUUAGAAAGAUCAUGGGAUGCUUAAACUUUUGAACCUUAAAUUUGUCAGUUAUGCUAGAAUUUAGCCAAUAGGAAAUAAGACCAUAUUUGGAGUUCUGAUUCAAGCUAAACGAAAGGCCAGUUCCGGGUCAUAUGUAUAAAAUAUGAG